UAGCUCAGAUGGUAAAGCAUCUGCCUGCGGUGCAGGAGACCCAGGUUUGAUCCCUGG
rnacentral:tRNA from 1 species